AUCGAUAACUCCACCGAUACAAAACAGCUGCUUUAAGACGGAAGAAACGCAUCACUAAUAGAAAAACAAAACAGCUGCCGCGCAAUUGAAAAUUGCGCUAAACAAAAGGAGAUACAAAAAAAAAAACCUAUUGACGACGGGCCCAGUUGGACCCCAGUGUACCUACCCUGCCUGAGAUGGCCACAUCGGCGCCAUCUCCCUUGCGUUGGCCACCACGUCAGUGGCCGCUCCUCAUCUGGCGUAGCGCUGCGGAUUUCCCCUCCCCACCAUGCUGAGAAAACUCACACAACCAUGUUCAAGAUAACAAACAAAUAUUUGGACUCUAGAAUGGCAAAGGAGCAAGAUUAAAAAAAAAAUCACGCAGUAGGACGAGAGAAACCACCAUAUAGCCGCAACGGCGUAAAGGACAACUUCUUUUACAUGUAACGCAUCCGGGCGGUUCGUAUAUAUUUAUUUACCAGUUUAUAUACGCAUGUUUUUAUAUAAGUAUUUAUCUACCUUAA